CACAAUCGAGUAUGUGCACUGAACUAUAUAGAUUUGUUUAUUCGGCCUUAAUUUACGCUACCACAAUACAUGGAUUUUAUCAUUCAUAGUUCAUACAUCUGAUUCCUUAAAUAAGCCAACAUGUGAGAUAAAUGGUUGCAGCAAUGAAAAGAGGGAAAGGAUGGACCCCUGAUGUGUAUGACUUUGUGGACAGCACACAUUUUAUUGAUGCAAACUUUGAUGAUAUAAUGAAAAAUCUGAAACCCUCAGCUAUUCCUACAAUAUUUCAGUGUCAUAACGAUGCAGCUUCCUGGCCAGUUUAAAAGAAGGAAAAAUAAAGUCUUAAGGUGAAAGAAGAAAUUGUACAAUUCAAAGAGACUUCUGAUAUAUUAUAAAAAGAAAGUUCAAUGUUUAUGAGAGGAGUUAUAGAAAAGCCAACCUCACCUAAAACAGUUAUGAUGAUUUAUCUUUACAUCUGUUUGAGGAGCCUACAGGAAAUGCAAAUUAUACAGAUGAAAAAAUAUCCUUCACAAUAACAUUGCACUUUUACUGUCCUAAUGCGUAUGAGUUCCUUUCUACCACGUUUAACCUGCCUUCAACCAGAACACUAAGAAGAUGAUGUUGGCAAGUUUACCUUCAUCUAUUUCAGUCAUGAUUGCCUUUAUAUGUGGACAAAUAAGCCUAUACAGUAUUUCCAAGAAUGAGAACUUUGCAGGGUAGAGUCAUUUGACUUACAAGCCUCUUAGAGACCACUGGGACAUUGUUCUGGGCUGCCUUUGGUAUGGGGAACUCUCAGGCACCAGCUAUUUAAGAAGAAGCAAAUAGCAGUCAGGUUAAUGGUGACUCAGAGAUAACAGACAGUGUGCUGCUGAAAGUCAUUGAGGUGAUUGGCUACGUUUUGUAUGGAGUUUACAUUCUUGAUGCUGUCGUGGUCCUGAUCAACUUGUUCAUUGCUAUGAUGAAUUUGAAGACAUUUAGAAUGUCCAAAAGAUUAGUCAGCUAAGGAGCCUAAAAUGUUAGCCUGUUUACAAAUAUGAGAUCUUCCUUGACUACACAAGUACCUUACAAAAGAAGGCUACUCACUUGUGUUUGGAUAUGUCAGCUGUUUUGUCCCUGUGGCCCUUUUCAAGCAUGACAGAUACCAUUCUAAGCAGCUUUUUUCUCUGGAAAUUAUUCAACCACAGAAGCUGUGAGGGAUAUCUGAAAUCCAUUGCUUACUUGUCUAGAAAGACUUCCAUCGAUUGAGUGAUAAAAGAUUAAGUGUACACAACUUUUAGUAGUCACCACAUAACACUUAACAUUUUGCUGCUCAAGACAAUACUGUUCAUGAAUGGUUUAUUUUUCUUUAUGCUGAGUGUGUCCAAGAAAGAUAAGGUCAAAGGUUAAUUGGACAAACAAUAAACUUUGUCUUUGAAUCUGAAAUUGUAGAACUUGUAGAGAAAAACAACUUUGUGUUGUUUUUUUUUAAUUUACCAGGUACCAGGUACCUUCUAUUCAUUUACUUUGACUGUUGACUUUAAGUUAGAAAUUAAGGAAAGAUUUCUUUGAGCUAUAUUUGUCAAUGAUCAUAGGCAUUAAGAGAGUUGACACCUCAUUUUACUUUUCAACAAGAUGAUGUCUUAAAAAAAUUAAGAGCUUUUGAUGGAAUUCUGUGGUUGAAUAACAUAAGGAAUAAUCACAGGAUUCCAUCAAAAUCAUUGCAAUUUGAACAUUGUUGGUAGUGUCAAUGUUAUUAAGUUUUUUAGUUCUUGGUGUUAUUACAGUAUUCAUUUUCUAGUGACCAGGCAGUGUUUUAUACCAUGAAUGAAUAUGUAAGAGGUUUAAGGUAUACCACUCAAUCAAUAAUAUCUUUGACAAUAAAAUAUUUUGAUCAAGUUUAUAUUUUUGGAACAGAAUAUGCUAAUGUGUUAAAUGUACAUUUUUCUUUUUUUUUAUGGAAUAACAACUGAUAUUUAGUUUUAUCCCUUUGUAUCUUUCUACAGUAGAUGCACUGUCAUACUAAAAAGAAAUUUUAAAAAAUUAUAAUAACUUCUAAUCAAAUUGUCUCCCUUUUAAAAUCAAAUAUCUAAAUGAAUCAUGCUACUUUGAUUCUACACAAUCUACAGGACUACCAAUGUACAUUAGUUUUGAACAAAAAGUUGCUAACUUUAAAUAAUUAACUCAUUUUGAUAUUUAUGUAUACCUUGUAAUAAAAGUGGCAUUCAUUUUACAAUUUCAUUUUUUUUAUUGUAACUGGUCUGUGUUAAUUUCUUUUUUUUUUUCAAAUUACUUUGUAUUGCCUAUAUGGGGAAAUGGUAUUUCUGUUGUUUCUUUGCUCAGCAAAAACAAAUCAGGAUUUGAACUCAAGCCCCCUUGACAGUGGUUUAUGCCAGAUAUCCAGCAUUUCAUGCAGUUUGUAGGCCAAAUUUGAUACUCACAGUGCCCCAGUGCAGGUAGAAAGAGGAAACCUUGCCUCAUUAAUGUUUGCUGCUCCAGACUUGCUUCUCUCUAUCUCAACUGAUCUAGGAAGCACUACAGCUGGGUUUCAGUCCACUGCAUUGGCUAGAGAGGAUUUCAGUCUCUCAGGCUGCAACUUAAAUGAAGUCUGAUGUGAUUUUAUUCUUUAAAAGUUGUAUGGAUGUCUUUAAGCUACAUAACUUAUCCUAGUCCAAUGUGUUGAUUGACAUAGUUACCAGGUACUGGUACUAAGAAAAUUGCCGCUUUUAUCCUCCCCUUCCAGCAACCCUUAGAUCUAGUUUUUCUAAAUUUCUAGUAGUUUAAUAGUGCUUUUCCAUAUGUCAUUAAAAAGUUAUGUUAAAAGUUAA